rnacentral:rRNA from 1 species
GACGAACGCUGGCGGCGCGCUUAACACAUGCAAGUCGAACGGAAAGGCCUGCUUUCCCUUGUGGAUUGCGGGUACUCGAGUGGCGAACGGGUGAGUAACACGUGAGUGAUCUGCCCCCAACUUGGGUAUAAGCCUGGGAAACUGGGUCUAAUUCCCGAUAGGACUGCAGGGUGGUGCCUGUGGUGGAAAACGAUUUUCUAGUGGUUGGGGAUGAGCUUGCGGCCUAUCAGCUUGUUGGUGGGGUAAUGGCCUACCAAGGCGGCGACGGGUAGCCGGCCUGAGAGGGUGGACGGCCACAUUGGGACUGAGAUACGGCCCAGACUCCUACGGGAGGCAGCAGUGGGGAAUAUUGCACAAUGGGCGGAAGCCUGAUGCAGCGACGCCGCGUGGGGGAUGACGGCCUUCGGGUUGUAAACUCCUUUCGACCGCGAGGAAGCCACCUGGUUGGAAGGGUGGUGACGGUAGUGGUAGAAGAAGCACCGGCUAACUACGUG